rnacentral:rRNA from 1 species
UACGUAGGGUGCAAGCGUUGUCCGGAAUUAUUGGGCGUAAAGAGCUUGUAGGCGGUUUGUCGCGUCUGCUGUGAAAUUUCGGGGCUCAACCCCGAACUUGCAGUGGGUACGGGCAGACUAGAGUGUGGUAGGGGAGACUGGAAUUCCUGGUGUAGUGGUGAAAUACGUAGAUAUCAGGAGGAAUACCGGUGGCGAAGGCGGCUGCCUGGUCCUACAUUGACGCUGAGAUACGAAAGCGUGGGGAGCGAACAGG